CGACCCCAUGUCAGGCGGGAUCACCCGCUGAGUUUAAGCAUAUCAAUAAGCGGAGGAAAAUAAACUAACAAGGAUUCCCUUAGUAACGGCGAGCGAACCGGGAAGAGCCCAACUUGAAAAUCGGACAUCUUUGGCGUUCGAAUUGUAGUUUGGAGAAGCGUCCUCAGCGACGGACCGGGCCCAAGUUCCCUGGAAAGGGGCACCAGAGAGGGUGAGGGCCCCGUUGUGCCCGGACACUGUCGCACCACGAGGCAUUGUCUAUGAGUCGGGUUGUUUGGGAAAGCAGCCCCAAUCGGGCUGUAAAUUCCGUUCAAGGCUAAAUAUGGGCGAGAGACCGAUAGCGAACAAGUACCGCGAGGUAAAGAUGAAAAGGACUUUGAAAAGAGAGUCAAAGAGUGCUUGAAAUUGUCGGGAGGGAAGCGGAUGGGGGCCGGCGAUUCGUCCCGGUCGGAUGCGGAACGGAGCAAUCUAGUCUGCCGAUCAAUUCGGCCCGUGGACCGACGUGGAUUAAGGUGGUGACCUAAGCCUGGGCUUUUGUUACGCCCGCGGCGACGUCGCUGCCUUAAUCGUGGUCUGCAGCACGCCCCUCCCAGCGUGGCUCGGCAUCUGCAUGCUCAGGGCGUCGGCCUGUGGGAUCCCCAUUCGACCCGUCUUGAAACACGGACCAAGGAGUCUGACAUGUGUGCGAGUCAACGGGUGAGUAAACCCAUAAGGGGCAAGGAAGCUGAUUGGCUGGAUCCCUCACAGGUGCACAGCCGACCGAUCUUGAUCUUCUGAGAAGGGUUCGAGUGUGAGCAUGCUUGUCGGGACUCGAAAGAUGGUGAACUAUGCCUGAGCGGGGCGAAGCCAGAGGAAACUCUGGUGGAGGCCCUCAGCGAUACUAAUGUGCAAAUCGUUCAUCUGACUUGGGUAUAGGGGCAAAAGACUAAUCGAACCAUCUCUACCGAUACCUAUUUCAUCAUCUUCAGACUCCUCGCCGCCAUCUACUCCGGCACCACUUCCGACUCCUAGCUUUGAGGCUACACCUUCAGGCUCUAGCUUUGAGACUGACCCAUCUGAAAGGUCAUAUGAUCAGACAGCGGAGCACAUUCCUUUGCCUCCAGACCCGUACUUUAUGGACAUCGAGGUGGAUGUGCUACACGAUAGUCCAGUGCAUGGAGAUCAUCCCGCAGCUCCUGCAUCUCCUGCCGCUCAUAUUACACCGGUUCCUGCCGCUCAUAUUCCACCGGCCCCUGCCGCACCUAUUCCAGCAGCACAACCUCAACCAGCGUCAACCGAUCCAGCUAUGAUAGCACUUCUGGAACUGAUGGCUGAGAUGGUGAAUUUGCAAUAUCAAGCAGUGAAUGAACAGCGAGAAGCACAGCGUGCUCAGCCAGCUCCAGUACCUACCACUUCUCACCCGGACUUCCUGAAGAUAGUCAUGAUAAUGAAGAACUUGGGGACGAAGCAUUACCAGGGAGGCACUGAUACCUUUGAAGCUGAUUUGUGGCUUCACAAUCUCGAGCAGAACUUUGCUGCAACCCGUUGUCCGGAAGAAUUUAAAAAAGACGUGGCUGUUUACUAUCUAGAGAAGGACGCCAUCAGUUGGUGGUUAUGCGUAGAGAGGAAAUUUGGAGACUUCAAUCUGAGUUGGGCUGACUUCCGUACAGCGUUCGUUCGAAAGUACUUCCCACCGGAAGCCCGUGAUCGAUUGGAGAUUAAAUUCAUGGAGCUAGUUCAGGGAGGAUUAUCUGUUAGGAAGUAUGAGGCAGAGUUCACCCGUCUCGGGAAGUAUGUCUACUAUGGUCAAGAGGACGAGAUGAUGAUUAUCCAUAAGUUCCUUCGAGGACUUAACCCAUAUAUUAGGAGCAGACUUGAGGCAGUAGAGUUUCAUCGGCUUGCUGAUCUUGUUGAGCGUGCUGUGAACGUUGAGGAGGCCAUUGCUGCUGAGAGAGCUUCUUCUAGCAAUGCCACACAACCUAGACGUCCAUCUGUUCCGUUCCAGCCUCAGCCGCAUUCUGCUGUGCAGCGAGGACGGGGAGGUAGAGCUUUUCGGGGAGGUCGAUCUGAAGGUCUGAUAUACCUUGGAUUUGACCCGUUUUCAUCCAUGGUAUAUAGGUGUUUUACUAUUUAUAUAUCUAUGUUUUUUACUCUUCUAGGUAUGUUUUCAGGUUCAGGUGCAUUUCAGAGUAAAGCUAUGACUUUGGAGCAUUUUGGAGCUUAAAGGACAUUUCACCCGAGCUGACCAUGUAGAGGUCGACGAGAGGAAGAACAAUCGAUCGAUGCGCAUCCUGUGCUAUCGAUCGACACCAAGAGAUGCCUCGACAAAUGAAGAUUAAUAUCAAUCGAUGUACACAAGUACCAUCGAUCGAUGUCGAGACAUUGGACAUGCGACACUUUGGAUCCAGCGGAUUUAAAACCCAUGGCCAAGCCAAAUUACAAAAAUGCCAUGACGAUUUUUUAACCUAGUAGAUUAUAUACUGCCUAAGUGUUUUGACGGCAGAGAGAGCUUGUUGUUACAGUUUUACUUUCAGAGAGAGUAGAGAGAGUUUUGGAGAGAAGAUCACUUAGGAUUGGAACUCCUUGUUUUCAAUUCUUUUCAUCUAUACUAUAAAUUCCCAUUUCUUUAUUGUUAUGAAUUGCUUUGUUAUGUCUU
rnacentral:ncRNA from 1 species